rnacentral:rRNA from 1 species
GACAGAGGAUGCAAGCGUUAUCCGGAAUGAUUGGGCGUAAAGCGUCUGUAGGUGGCUUUUUAAGUCCGCCGUCAAAUCCCAGGGCUCAACCCUGGACAGGCGGUGGAAACUACCAAGCUGGAGUACGGUAGGGGCAAAGGGAAUUCCCGGUGUAGCGGUGAAAUGCGUAGAUAUCGGGAAGAACACCAAAGGCGAAAGCACUUUACUGGGCCGAAACUGACACUGAUAGACGAAAGCUAGGGGAGCAAAUGGG